GGGGGUAUGGCUCAGUGGUAGAGCUCUUGCCUAGCAAGCAUGAGGCCCUGAGUUCAAAUUAGUUCCUCAA
rnacentral:tRNA from 1 species